CCGAGAUAGAGCAGCGGCGGGCUGGCGGAGCGAUUGGAGCAGUCUCCCCUGUCUCGGUACGGGGUGGGGCGCCGCGGAGCGAGGGGAGCAGAGGGAUGGGGCAGGAGGUGAGCGCGGCGAGGGGUGAGGAGGAGAAGGGGAGGAGGUUUAGGGGAGGAGGGAGCGGGCUACGACGGCAGCUGCACGCAGCGAGUUAGGGCGCCGGUGGCCGUGGGGACUCGUAGCUCCGAAGCAGAUACCCCACGUGGCGGUAGAGGAUGCAGUAGGAGCCGGUUACCUACUUGGGCCCCACCAGACGUAGCGGUCGUAGCUGGGGUAGGGGUUAGUGGCCGGCAGCGGGACGGAGUGGCUUAGAGGAGCGGCCUCUGAGGGGCUGGAGACGUUCGAGCAGGUGCCGGAGGGGUCCUGGGGCUCUGGCUACGGCGGGGACACUAGCUGAUGCAGCUGCUGUGAAGAAGGAAAUGUUGUCUCGAAGGUCUACUGCUUAGGGUCCUCGGUCUGCUACGGUGACUACUGAUGAUGAUGGGGCUCCCACGGAUGAUGAUGCACUUCUGGCGGCUGCUG
rnacentral:rRNA from 1 species